AUGAUCUUGGCCAACCCCUCUCGCCAAGAGAUCGACAACCUGCUUCUGCUGCUGGAUAACUUCGGGAAGGCCACGGGGCUCCGCAUCAACCUGGGAAAAUCUUUAGUAGCACCGAUUAGCUGCGGCGACAUCGAUCUUCAAGACGUGCUGCAUGGAUUUGGCGGUCCGGUGGUCGGCUUCCCGCUGCGCUACUUAGGCCUCCCCAUUACCAUCUCCCGCGUCCACCUGGUCCAUCUCCCGUUCAUUCUUGAUCGCAUAAGAGCCAGACUGGCGGCUUGGUAAGGACGCCUCCUGUUGAUAGCAGGCCGUAGGGUUCUUGUCCAUUCCGUCCUAACGGCGUUGCCUACCUUCGCUCUUACGAUGCUGCGGGCUCCAAAAAAGAUGCUCAAAGAUAUCGACAAGUGCAAGCGGCGCUUCCUUUGGGUUCACGACGAGGAACUCUCCGGUGGCAAAUGCAAGGUCUACUGGCCCACAGUCUGUUCCCCGACGGACUACGGGGUCCUCGGCGUUCUUGAUCUGUAG
rnacentral:rRNA from 1 species